AGUGGCGGACGGGUGAGUAACGCGUGAGAAUCUGCCUUGGGGUCGGGGACAACCACUGGAAACGGUGGCUAAUACCGGAUAAGCCGAUUGGUCAAAGAUUUAUUGCCCGAAGAGGAGCUCGCGUCUGAUUAGCUAGUUGGUGAGGUAAGAGCUCACCAAGGCAGCGAUCAGUAGCUGGUCUGAGAGGACGAUCAGCCACACUGGGACUGAGACACGGCCCAGACUCCUACGGGAGGCAGCAGUGGGGAAUUUUCCGCAAUGGGCGAAAGCCUGACGGAGCAAGACCGCGUGAGGGAGGAAGGCUCUUGGGUUGUAAACCUCUUUUCUCAGGGAAGAAGCUCUGACGGUACCUGAGGAAUCAGCCUCGGCUAACUCCGUGCCAGCAGCCGCGGUAAUACGGAGGAGGCAAGCGUUAUCCGGAAUUAUUGGGCGUAAAGCGUCCGCAGGUGGCGAUUCAAGUCUGCUGUCAAAGCACGGGGCUUAACUCCGUAAAGGCAGUGGAAACUGAAUAGCUAGAGUGCCGUAGGGGUAGAGGGAAUUCCCGGUGUAGCGGUGAAAUGCGUAGAGAUCGGGAAUAACAUCGGUGGCGAAAGCGCUCUACUGGACGGCAACUGACACUCAGGGACGAAAGCUAGGGGAGCGAAUGGGAUUAGAUACCCC
rnacentral:rRNA from 1 species